rnacentral:lncRNA from 13 species
CUUUAUAUAAAUAUGAAGUUAAGCUUGCAGUUUCUGUGAUGUUUGUGGAUGGAUUAAUUUCUACAAAACAGAAGAUUUAAAAACCUGCCUAAGGAACAGUACCUACUUGCGGGGAAGAGACACCUACAGCCUGGAGCCAAGCCAGCCAACUGGUAAUUGAAAGUGAUCCAUCCCAGCAGACCCAGAAGACUGUGGAAAGCAACUGAGAAUCUGGUGUGCCUCAUAGAAAAAGACCACUGAAUGAACAGCAUUGGGUCUGAAGAGAAAUAAGAGGACUGUCAGAUGCUUCCACCACUGUCAGAAUAUCAGACACUGUGUCUAAGAAGGGAGACUGUCCAACAGAGGUAAGGACUUCAAAGCACCCGUCAGUGGCUCCAGCUCUCUCCUGUGGAGUCUAAUUGG